ACUCAAAUGAAUUGACGGGGGCCCGCACAAGCGGUGGAGCAUGUGGUUUAAUUCGACGCAACGCGAAGAACCUUACCUGGGUUGGAACCCCUUAGAAGUCCGCAGAGAUGUGGAUGUGCUCGCAAGAGAACUAAGUGUCCAGGUGCUGCAUGGCUGUCGUCAGCUCGUGUCGUGAGAUGUUGGGUUAAGUCCCGCAACGAGCGCAACCCUUGUCGUUAGUUGCCAACGGUUCGGCCGGGCACUCCAACGAGACUGCCGGUGUUAAACCGGAGGAAGGUGGGGAUGACGUCAAGUCCUCAUGGCCCUUAUGCCCAGGGCUACACACGUGCUACAAUGGCCGGUACAAAGGGUCGCAAGCCCGCGAGGGGAAGCCAAUCCCAAAAAACCGGCCUCAGUUCAGAUUGCAGUCUGCAACUCGACUGCAUGAAGUUGGAAUCGCUAGUAAUCCCUGAUCAGCAGGCAGGGGUGAAUACGUUCCCGGGCCUUGUACACACCGCCCGU
rnacentral:rRNA from 1 species